UGCGAAGGGUGCAAGCGUUACUCGGAAUUACUGGGCGUAAAGCGUGCGUAGGUGGUUCGUUAAGUCUGAUGUGAAAGCCCUGGGCUCAACCUGGGAAUGGCAUUGGAAACUGGCGACCUAGAGUGCGGUAGAGGGCAGUGGAAUUCCCGGUGUAGCAGUGAAAUGUGUAGAGAUCGGGAGGAACAUCUGUGGCGAAGGCGACUGCCUGGACCAGCACUGACACUGAGGCACGAAAGCGUGGGGAGCAAACAGG
rnacentral:rRNA from 1 species